rnacentral:rRNA from 1 species
GAGAGUUUGAUCCUGGCUCAGGAUGAACGCUGGCGGCGUGCUUAACACAUGCAAGUCGAGCGAAGCACUAAAACGGAUUUCUUCGGAAUGAAGUUUUAAUGACUGAGCGGCGGACGGGUGAGUAACGCGUGGGUGACCUGCCUCAUACAGGGGGAUAACAGACAGAAAUGUCUGCUAAUACCGCAUAAGCGCACAGUGCUGCAUGGCACAGUGUGAAAAACUCCGGUGGUAUGAGAUGGACCCGCGUCUGAUUAGCUAGUUGGUAAGGUAACGGCUUACCAAGGCGACGAUCAGUAGCCGGCCUGAGAGGGUGAACGGCCACAUUGGGACUGAGACACGGCCCAAACUCCUACGGGAGGCAGCAGUGGGGAAUAUUGCACAAUGGGGGAAACCCUGAUGCAGCGACGCCGCGUGAAGGAAGAAGUAUUUCGGUAUGUAAACUUCUAUCAGCAGGGAAGAAAAUGACGGUACCUGACUAAGAAGCCCCGGCUAACUACGUGCCAGCAGCCGCGGUAA